GGACCCGUAGCUCAGCUGGAUAGAGCGCUGCCCUCCGAAGGCAGAGGUCGAUGGUUCGAAUCCAUUCGGGUCCGCCA
rnacentral:tRNA from 7 species